rnacentral:rRNA from 1 species
CGAUUAAGCCAUGCGAGUCGAGAGGGUUCGGCCCUCGGCGUACUGCUCAGUAACACGUGGAUAACCUGCCCUAGGGAAGGGGAUAACCCCGGGAAACUGGGGAUAAUACCCUAUAGAUUACAGAUGCUGGAAUGCCCUGUAAUCCAAAGUUCCGACGCCCUAGGAUGGAUCUGCGGCCGAUUAGGUUGUUGUUGGGGUAAUGGCCCAACAAGCCCGUAAUCGGUACGGGUUGUGGGAGCAAGAGCCCGGAGUUGGAUUCUGAGACACGAAUCCAGGCCCUACGGGGCGCAGCAGGCGCGAAAACUUUACAAUGCGGGCAACCGUGAUAAGGGAACCUCGAGUGCCUGUAAAUGCAGGCUGUUCAGGUGCCUAAAACACACCUGAAGAAAGGGCCGGGCAAGACCGGUGCCAGCCGCCGCGGUAAUACCGGCGGCUCGAGUGGUGGCCGCUUUUAUUGGGCUUAAAGCGUUCGUAGCUGGGUUGUUAAGUCUCUUGGGAAAUCUGGCGGCUUAACCGUCAGGCGUCUAAGGGAUACUGGCAAUCUUGGAACCGGGAGAGGUGAGGGGUACUUCGGGGGUAGGAGUGAAAUCCUGUAAUCCUCGAGGGACCACCUGUGGCGAAGGCGCCUCACCAGAACGGCUUCGACAGUGAGGGACGAAAGCUGGGGGAGCAAACCGGAUUAGAUACCCGGGUAGUCCCAGCCGUAAACUAUGCGCGUUAGGUGUAUCGGUGACCACGAGUUACCGAGGUGCCGAAGGGAAACCGUGAAACGUGCCGCCUGGGAAGUACGGUCGCAAGGCUGAAACUUAAAGGAAUUGGCGGGGGAGCA